AUUGAACGCUGGCGGCAGGCCUAACACAUGCAAGUCGAACGAGUGGCGGACGGGUGAGUAAUGUCUGGGAAACGGCCUGAUGGAGGGGGAUAAGUACUGGAAACGGUAGCUAAUAGCGCAUACCAUCGGAUGUGCCCAGAUGGGAUUAGCUAGUAGGUGGGGUAAAGGCUAACAUAGUAGACGAUGCCUAGCUGGUCUGAGAGGAUGAACGGCCACCCUGGAACUGAGACACGGUCCAGACUCCUACGGUAGUCAGCAGUGGGGAAUAUUGGACAUGGGGCGCAAGCCUGAUGCAGCCAUGCCGCGUGUAUGAAGAGGGCCUUCGGGUUGUAAAGUAUUUUCAGCGGGGAGGCGUUACCCGCAGAAGAAGCACCGGCUAACUCCGUGCCAGCAGCCGCGGUAAUAC
rnacentral:rRNA from 1 species